AUGUCUAAUGCAAUAAAAAUCAAUAGGUCUAACCCAUAUAAACAAAAAUUAUUUGGGGUCCUCAAUAAUGUUUAAAAAUGUAAAAACUUUCUGCCUGUGACUAAAAAGUUUGAGAACUAGACUAGAUCAUUCUGAAAGUGUUUUUUCAGCUCUUGAUCCUGAGCUGAAAUGAAACCAUCUAGUCAAGACACUUAUGGAACUACUUAGGAAUCUCAGGGAAAGUACAAAAAAAAAAAAAAAAAAAAAAAACUUCCCCAACUUCCCUCAUUACUUUUACUUUUAUUAUACUUAUGUAUAAUAAAACAAUUGGUAUUUAUAUUAAAGUUGGAGGGAAUAGAGACUUAUUUAAACAUUUUUCUUUUUAAUUGGUAGAGGUUAUUUUGUUUCAUUGGGAUCUCUUAAUGCAGGAUCCGAUCAUCAACUCUUCUGUAACCUGUGGCAGCCUUUGGCGGGGAUGAAGGUCACAAGGAGCAGGUCUCUGGGAUGAAGGGGAGUGAGAGUUUGGUGCAGAGUCCUGACCAAAGACUAAAGGACGGUGCUCGAAUCCCUCACUCCCCAUCUCUUAGCGCUUCCUAGGAAAUGCCACCUGGAGAAGAAAGGGGCAUGUGUCUUCCUGGGCGCUUUCCCCCUGCUCCACCCUUCUGUACUGUCCCCACCAUAGAGCUCUCCCCCUUAAAUAUACCCUGCAAGAUAAGGGAAGCAGCAAGAAUUUCUGACAAUCACUUCUGUUCAUCUGUUCAAGCUGGACUGUCCAACGCUUAUUUCUGAUCUCCCAUUGCUUCUGCUGGGUCUCCGGAACAAGGGAGGAACAAAAGAUCCCAAGUGCAUUGGUCACAAUUUGUAUGGUGCCUUUGCUCCCCCACUUAGGAGCAUCCAUUCACUCGCAUCCGGGACUUCCUCCUCCUGGGUCCCCAGACUCCCACUCUCGAAAGUCUGUCUUGUUCACUUGGUCCCACGCUCCAUUUUAUACCGGUCCCAUACUCCAUUUUACAAAGGAGAAAAACCGAGGGUGAGAAGUGAAAUGUCUAGCUCAAGGUCACAAAACAAGUCCCGGGUAAUCUUCCUUCCCUCCCACCUAAUCUAGGCUUGAAACAGACAGACUGACACGCCACCGCUCCUUCCCUCCUCCCCCUCUGGUCUUACAUUUUAAACAAACACACUGGGUCUUAAAGGACCUUCCUCUCCAGUGAUAGUCCUGUCUUUAGUUUUUUACACAACCAGUGGGCGUUUUCCAACUGAAGAGGAGUUGGUUCCUUCUGGCUAAGAGACUCAUUCUGGGAGAAGAAUGGCGUCUAGGACUUCCCCCAGACUUCUCCGACAUGUAACUACAAUCUUUAUAGUGUUCUGUGCAGAUCUGUGAAUGUCAAAAUGAAGGAUACUACGGAGAUGGGAGGGGAAAAGGGAGGAGAGUACUGACCCUCCCAUCAAGCCAGCGCGCACACCAACGGAGCUGAUCACAGCCCUCCGGGGAACUCCGCUUAAAGAUCAGCACGAUAAAUAAGUCGUUGUUUUCUGUUAGGAACUUAAGAAAGACUGGCGAGAACGCACCUAGCUGGGCAGAAAGUGGCACUGGGCGUUUUAUUUCUUAACAUCGCGUUAGCUUCCAUGAAAUAAUAGUUCACACAAACGACUGACCCUUGACCCAGUAAGCAACAGCUCGAUUCUGUUUUUCCUGGGUUGAACUGAGCCAGCGCUCGCCGACGGCACUUAACCUCCCUUCUCCCUGCCAACACUGGGUGGCACUAAGUAACUCCGGGGCCCGGCCGUUUUCCAGACAGCGCGCUCUGAAUGCAGCGCUUGUAAUGCCCAGACAGGGCCGGGGCCUGUCGGAACAGCCAAUGGUUUUGUUUGAGAAACUUUGCGCUCAGAUGGUUGUAACCCGAGAAAGGCCGGCCUCACGUGGCACAUUCUGAACUUCCUUGGUUUGUUAGAUGGCUGCGCCUGGGACUGCGGCGCACACUCGCUUGCAGGGGAGGGCUCUCCAUGUGCUCCUGCUACCGCUGCAGCUGCUGUGGCUGCUGCCGGCGUCUCUCGGGCAGAUUUCCGGGAGGGGGGGGUGGUGGGGAGGAUUCUCCCCCCCCCUCUUUUCUUCCUUUCUAUUUUAAAAUUUACCAAUUUCCUUUGAUGUUUCUGGUCUUAGCAUGGAAAACUACAAAAUCUUUAUUUUUUUUUUAAGAAAACCAAAAGAAAAGAUUUAAAAAUAAGAUUAUGAUCCCUUGGUUUUUUGUUUUGCUGUAUUGUGUAUGUGUCUUUAACUUCCUGGAGUUACUUUUUUUUGGUUUGGUGUGCCUCUUGGUAAACCUAUUUCCCUGCUCUGUUUUUUAAUGAUAAUUCACUUUUUAUCAGCCCCUCAAAUUGGGUUAUCCCGAUCUUAAAAAGCAAACAGGCAGGCGGGCUGGAAGGACUGGAGGUUCAGAGGGGGAAGGGAGGCUGGGGAAAAGGAGAGAGAAAGGAAGAGGGACUGGGAAAAAGAGGGGGAAGGGCCAUAAAAAAUUAGGGGCCACCGGCUACCAGAGGGAGGGGGGGCGGGAGAGAUGGGUAGAGGGAGGGGCAGAAAAAUUUAGGAGCCAUGGGCUACAGCAGGGAAGGGAGGAAGGGAGAGGGAGAGGGAGUGGGGGAGGAGUAGUCUUGUAGAGCUGCGCCCAGACUUAGUAGAAAACAAGACGCUCAAGUCCCGCCCUCCCGUAGUGAAAGCCCGGCCCGAGUAUUUCUGAGCUCUUUUGUAGCGGCUGGCUGGCUGAUUCACACUCAGCCCGUCUCAUAUCAACAAUGCAAGGUCACUAAAGAAAGCAGGGAAGGGAACAUAACAUAACCGGCUACUUCUUGGUUACUGAUUUAUAAUGGACAUUGUGUUAGAUAAUGUCUGCUUCAUCUUGGCAGUUCCAGCUUCUAGGUGCCCGACGGAAUCCUCAGUGGAACCAGAACCGUGGAGUCAUGGAGACCUCAGACCCAGGAUUCCUAGCUGGAUGUUGUAGCUGGCUCACCUGGCUGGGAAGUCCUGAGAAACCGAGGUGCUUGAGAUCCAUCCCAGGGGCUUUGGACUGUGGGAAGGUGCUGUAUAAGAACGGAGUGAAUGCAGUCCCUUUACUCUCCCAGUUAUAUGGGGGGAGAUUAUGUCCCAUGUAUUGGAAAGUAUGUCUGUACUUUUGUCGUUAUGCCUUUUAGGCAAAUACUCUUUUGUAAAAGCUAACCUGACUCUUAAGUGGCUAAGUGGAGCUGGAAACAAUUGGAGGAACACCAUCUUGAGCUGGAGAUGCUGGGGCAGAAAGCCUAGACACUGCCAAAUCCCCUUAUGAGUAUGGGGAGCUCUGCAGGGGUGAGAAGGGCUCUCAGGCAGUGAAGACCAGGGUAAUCCUUAUUUUACAUAUAUACACAUAAAAAAGGUUUAUGUAUCCCCAUGCACAUUUGUAAUUGUAUGCAUGCUUUUCUCAGUUCUCAUUCUUUUUGAGGUCACCAUCCUUCUGUUUAGAUACUCUAUCCUUUCUCCUUCCUAAAUUUUCUUGUUUCUGCUCAGUCAUGAUUCUCUUGGCGAUCCAGUCGGCCAUUCUCGAUCUCCUUUGUUCUUUUCUCACCCAUUUCCUCAUCCCGUAGCUCCCUGAUCCUCCCUUUUCUACUCUCUCAUGCUUGUUGUGUUAGCCCCUCUAUGGGCUGUCUAGCCCUUUUGAGAUAUUGUAUGCUUGCCAUAUCCAGGACUCUGUACCAUUCUGAUUUUCCAACCAUGGAUGGCAGAGAAAUUACUGAAAAAGAUGAAUGAAAAAGGUAAUUUUACUUCAGGGAUGAUUUCUUGUUUUGUUUUCAAGUCAGCAUUACCUUUGGUGCUCUAUAAAUAGCACUAAUAUUUUGUACUUGGGAUUAUGGCCAAAGGGGAAAAUGGGAUUUUUACAAUGAGCACAAAACUCAGGAAGGAAGUUCUUAAGGAAACAAUAGGAAAGGCUUGGGAAAAGUGUAAGAAAAGGCUAUUUUAAAAAAAAUAGCUUUGUAUUUUCAAAAUAUAUGCAAAGAUAGUUUUCAACAUUCAGCCUUGCAAAACCUUGUGUUCCAAAUUUUUCUCUCCUUUUCCCCCACCUCCUUCCCUAGACAGCAAGUAAUUUACUAUAUGUUAAUUUAAACAUGUGCAAUUCUUUUAUACACAUUUCCCCAUUUAUCAUGGUGCACAAGAAAAAUCAAAUCAAAAAGGAAAACUGAGAAAGAAAACAAAAAGCAAGCAAACAAUAAAAAAGAUGAAAAUACUAUGUUGUGUAUUGGUCAUCCUGCCAUCUGGGGAGGGGGUGGGGGGAAGGAGGGGAAAAAUUGGAACAAAAGGUUUGACAGUUGUCAAUGCUGUAAAAUCACCCAUGCAUAUAAUUUGUAAAUAAAAAGCUAUUUAAAAAAAAAGAAAAUAUUAUGUUGUAUAGCAUUCUCAUUCUUUUGUUUUCUUUCUCAGUUUUUUUCUUCCUUUUUGAUCUGAUUUUUCUUGUGCAGCAAGAUAAGUAUAAAUAUAUAUAUACAUAUAUUGGAUUUUACAUAUAUUUUAACAUAUUUAACAUUAUUGAACUACCUGCCAGCUAAGGGAGGGGGGGAGGGGAGAAAGGAGGGGAAAAUUUAGAACAAAAGGCUUUGCAAGGGUCAAUAUUGAAAAAUUAACCAUGCAUGUGUUUUGUAAAUAAAAAGCUUUAAUUAAAAAAAAUAAUAUGUUGUGAUCCACAUUCAGAAUCCCACAGUCCUUUCUCUGGAUACAGAUGGCUUUCUCCAUCACAAAUCUGUUGGAAUUGGCCUGAAUCACCUCAUUGUUGAAAAGAUCCACGUCCAUCACAAUUGAUCAUUCCGCAAUCUUGUUCUUGCCGUGUACUAUGUUCUCUUAGUUCUACCCACUUCACUUAGCAUCAGUUCAUGCAAGUCUCUCCAGGCCUAGAAAAAGCUAUUUCUAAGAGCUUGGAGGUCUGGAUUUUAUUUGGAUCUUAGGAUUUAAAGAAUCCUACAGUUUAUUUCAAAACGUCUCAUUUUACAGAUGGGGAAUCUGAGGCAUAGAAAGCUGAAGUGAUUUUCCUAAAGUCGCAUAUAGUUAAGUAGCAAAGCCAGGGUUCUAAAACAGUUCUUCUAAACUCAUAUGAGCAUACCCCAGCUGUCUCUUAGGGCAAAUAAAGUUGCCUCUCUGUGCCUCAAUUUUCUCAUCUCUAAAGAUGGAAUUAGAAUGAGCACUUAUCUAAUAGAGGCAGCUUGAUGACAAACACAGAACAUUUACAGGCAGACAAACAGUUGCAUCAGGCUGUUUUUCCUUACCAACCGUUUUCAAGAAAAUAGAAUCGAUAUUUUGUCCUCCUUUCUCGGCACAAGUCAAGACUGGCUUCAGGUAAAGAAACCCUCUUGCAGACUAUUUGCAGGGAGUUUUGAAGGCUGGCCAGAGGCAGCAGCCAUGGGCCGGGGCUGGCUGUUUUCCAGGGAAGUUGCCUCCAGAUGCAGCUGUCCGGAGCUAUUUGCAGCUCCUCACAUCCUGAGAAGUAGUUGCAGGGACCUAAGCUUUUGAGGUUGUGAAUGGAGAGGGACUGGAGAAACUGGGAGAGAGGUCAGGGGCUUGAUCAGGGCAGGAAAUGGCCUGAGGAAGUGGUGCGAUUUUAGCUGGCCAAGGCCCUGGGGGAGCCCUCUGAUUUGCUUGCCCAAGUGGGCCACAGAGAAUCAGUCAAAUUCAAAUCUAAUGCUAAAGAAAGAAGUGAACCUAAUAAGAGAUAAAAAAUGAUAACAUAACCUAGGUUCCUGAAUCUGCUCAAUUGCACUAGCUACUAACCAGUCGACUUUUUGGAAUCAGAAAAGUAGCUAGAAUUUGGAACUAAGCCCAAAGGGCUAUUAACUGCAUGCCUUUGACCCAGCAGUGUCUAUACUGGGUCUGUAUCCCAAAGAGAUCUUAAAGAAGGGAAAGGGAUCCACAUGUGCAAGAAUGUUCGUGGCAGCCCUUUUUGUAAUGGCUAGAAACUGGAAACUGAAUGGAUGCCCAUCAAUUGGAGAAUGGCUGAAUAAAUUAUAGUAUAUGGAUGUUAUGGAAUAUUAUUGUUCUGUAAGAAAUGACCAGCAGGAUGAUUUUAGAGAGGCUGGACAGACUUACAUGAACUGAUGAAGUGAGUAGAACCAGGAGAAUAUUGUAUACAGCAGUAGUACUAUUAUAGAGUGAUCAACUGUGGUCUUUUCAACAGUGAGGUGAUACAAAGCAAUUCCAACAGACGUGAUGGAGAGAGCCGUCUACAUUCAGAGAGAGAACUAUGGAGACUUUUUGUUGUUGUUUGUGUUUUUUUUUUCUUUUUCCUACUUAUUUUUUCUUUCACCUUUUGAUCAGCUUUUUCUCGCCCAGCAUGAUGAAUAUAGAAAUCUGUUUAGGAGAAUUGUACGUUUAACCUAUAUUGGAUGGUUUGUUGUCUAGGUGAGGGGGCAGAGGAAAGGCAGGGAGAGAGGGAGGAAAAUUUGGAACACAAGGUUUUGCAAAGGUGAAUGCUGAAAACUAGAAAAGUGGCUACGUUACACAAUUCAGCGUUAGCUGUCAUAAAUACACUGUGGGAAAUCUGAUUUUCCUGGAAGGAUUUUUCUAUAGUUUUUUAAAGUUGUGCUUUGUGACUCCACAGAUCACAUCAUACCAAUAUGUGGGCAGAGGGUUUUCUUGGCAAAGGUACCAGAGUGAUUUGCCAUGUUCUUCUCCAGUGCCUCAAGGCAAACAGAACUUACAUGACUUUCUCAAGGAGAUACAGCUAGUGAGUGUCUGAGGCCAGAUCUUUAACUUAGGUCUACCUGACUCUGUGCUGAACUCUAGCUGCCUCUUGUGUAAUUUAGGACAGCACAAUUUCUAAUGCAUAGCUUAGAUCCAGGCUUAUUAAACUUUUUCCACUCAACCCCUUUUCACUUGAGAAAUUUUUACAUGGCCUUGGAUAUAUAGGUAUAUGAAGUUGGUAAACAAAUCAAACAUUUAUUGAUAAUAAAUUGUAAUUUUGUGACCCUCAUAUUCAAUUACAAAACCCAUAUGGGAUCACUAACCACUGUUUAAGAAACUGAGGUUAGAGAAUCAAACUGAGUACCUGCAUUUAUUGUUUAACUUUUCGCUGUAACAAAUAUCUGCUGUUAUUAUGUCAUAGAAUACUUGAAAAUUUUAUUUUGAACAAAAACUGACAUCUAGAGAAAGAUUGUUAUGUGGAAAAAUUACUGUAUUAUGGGUAGGAUGGGUGGAUUGGGAGUCAGAAACUCAUGGGUUCAAAUUUUGCUUCUUAAAGGCAAAGCACCUCACCUACAUGAACUUCAAUUUCUUAUCUGUAAAAUGGGGAUAAUCUUUCAUAGUUAAUUCAUAGGAUUAUUUUAAGACUCACAUAAAAUGUAAAAUAUAUUACAACCCUUAAAGUUCUAUUUAAAAAUCACCUAUUGUUAUCUGAAUUUGAAUAAAUUAUUUUAAUAAAAUCCACAA